AGUGAACGCUGGCGGCGUGCUUAACGCAUGCAAGUCGAACGAGAACGGAUUAUAGCUUGCUAUAAUUGUCAGCGAAGUGGCGCACGGGUGAGUAAUGUAUAGGUAAUAUGCCUCUUACUAAGGGAUAACAAAUGGAAAAGUUUGCUAAUACCCUAUACUCCUUAUUAACGUAAGUUAAGAAGGGAAAGAUUUAUUGGUAAGAGAUUAGCCUGUAUUGUAUCAGUUAGUUGGUGGGGUAAUGGCUUACCAAGACUAUGACACAUAACUGGUUUGAGAGGAUGAUCAGUCACACUGGAACUGAGACACGGUCCAGACUCCUACGGGAGGCAGCAGUAGGGAAUAUUGCACAAUGGACGAAAGUCUGAUGCAGCAACGCCGCGUGGAGGAUGACACAUUUCGGUGCGUAAACUCCUUUUAUAUGGGAAGAUAAUGACGGUAUUAUAUGAAUAAGCACCGGCUAACUCCGUGCCAGCAGCCGCCGUAA
rnacentral:rRNA from 1 species